AACGUUAACGUGAAGAAAUUCAACUAAGCGACAGGUAAACGGCAGUGUAACUAUAACACUUUUAAGGUAGCCAAAUGCCUCGUCAUCUAAUUAGUGACGUGCAUGAAUGGAUCAAUGAGAUUCCUACUGUCCCAAAUGACCAUCUAACGAACCCACAGCCAAGGGAACGGGCUUGGCAAAAUCAGCGGGGAAAGAAGACCCUGUUGAGCUUUGAAGAAGAGUGGCAUUGUGACGUGGCAAUUGGGAUAUAGUGUAGGUGGGAGGUUCGCCAACAAUGUAACACCACUACUCAUUUCGUCAUUUUACUAAUUCCGUAAAGCGGAAUCCUUCGGGACUUCUUGCACUAAGGUUCGUAAGAACUGAUCUGGGCGGAAGACAGUGUCAUCCGAUUUUCUUGACUGGGGCGGUACAUCCGUUAAAUCAUAACGCGGAUGUCCUAAGGCGAGCUCAAAGAGAACAGAAAUCUCUUGUAGACCAAAAGGGGGAAAAGCUCGCUUGAUUUUUGAUUUUCAGUACAAAUACAAACUGUGAAAGCAUGGC
rnacentral:rRNA from 1 species